GGAAAUAUUGGAUUGCUAAUUGCACCACAUGUGUUUUUCUUUGAAACAAACUUGCUUUGGCGGUGGGCCCAGCCUGCCGCCAGAGGUCUAAACUUACAACCAAUUUUUUAUCAACUUGUCACACCAGAUUAUUACUUAAUAGUCAAAACUUUCAACAACGGAUCUCUUGGUUCUCGCAUCGAUGAAGAACGCAGCGAAAUGCGAUACGUAAUAUGAAUUGCAGAUAUUCGUGAAUCAUCGAAUCUUUGAACGCACAUUGCGCCCUCUGGUAUUCCGGAGGGCAUGCCUGUUUGAGCGUCGUUUCUCCCUCAAACCGCUGGGUUUGGUGUUGAGCAAUACGACUUGGGUUUGCUUGAAAGACGGUAGUGGUAAGGCGGGAUCGCUUUGACAAUGGCUUAGGUCUAACCAAAAACAUUGCUUGCGGCGGUAACGUCCACCACGUAUAUCUUCAAACUUUGACCUCAAAUCAGGUAGGACUACCCGCUGAACUUAAGCAUAUCAAUAAGCGGAGGAA
rnacentral:rRNA from 1 species